CCCCCUCGNNNGAGUGAACUAGCUACCUGAAAUCCUCGGUGUGUCAUCGAGGAUAACGUAAGGGAAAAUAAUGAUAUUACCUUACUAUUAGUGUCGUCCAAGUACUCGUGCCAGAAGACUCGGUAAGGCGAGAGACGCAAACGUUAGUCGUCUUGAUCAGGCGUAAAGGGUUUGUAGGCGGCUUUAAGUAUCUUAUUUNUAGUUUACUAUUUUAAUGUUUAUAAUUAUAAUUGAAUUUUUAAUGAUAAAAGAAAAUUUUAAAUAUUGGGAGUUUCUCCUUCAUUUAUAAAUUUUACUAAAUUAAUAAUUUUACAUUAAAAAAAUAAAGAAAGGAUCAAUUAAAGCUAGAAUCUAAAAGAGGUUAAAACAAUACUUUAGAAAGGAGUGCUAACCGUAGAUAAUGAGCAGAGUGUUAAGGGCGAAGGCAUUUAUCCAAUAAAGAUUGACGCUGAGAAACGAAGGUGAGGACAGAAAAAAGGAUUAGAGACCCUUGUAUCCCUCACUGUCAACGAUGAAUGGUAGUUACUAGGUAGUUAUGACCUAGAGACGAUGUUAACACGUAAACCAUUCCGCCUUGUGAGUACGACUGCCAAAGUUGAAAACCCAAAAAAUUAGUCGGUUUCGGAGCACUNCGAAGUGAAGCAU
rnacentral:rRNA from 1 species